UACGAAGGGGGCUAGCGUUGUUCGGAAUCACUGGGCGUAAAGCGCACGUAGGCGGAUUGUUAAGUCAGGGGUGAAAUGCCAAGGCUCAACCUUGGAACUGCCUUUGAUACUGGCAAUCUCGAGUCCGGGAGAGGUGAGUGGAACUGCGAGUGUAGAGGUGAAAUUCGUAGAUAUUCGGAAGAACACCGGUGGCGAAGGCGACUUACUGGACACAUAUUGACGCUGAGGUGCGAAAGCGUGGGGAGCAAACAGG
rnacentral:rRNA from 1 species